GAUGAACGCUGACAGAAUGCUUAACACAUGCAAGUCUUUGGCGAAUCUGUGCUUGCACAGGCUAGCCAAGGCGGACGGGUGAGUAACGCGUAAAGAACUUGCCCUGCAGACAGGGAUAACAGACGGAAACGACUGAUAACACCUGAUACAGUUGCCGGCACGCAUGUGCCUGGCAAUGAAAAGAGAUGCUGCAGGAGAGCUUUGCGUCCUAUUAGCUUGUUGGUGAGGUGACGGCUCACCAAGGCGAUGAUAGGUAGCCGGCCUGAGAGGGUGAACGGCCACAAGGGGACUGAGAUACGGCCCUUACUCCUACGGGAGGCAGCAGUGGGGAAUAUUGGACAAUGGGGGCAACCCUGAUCCAGCAAUUCUGUGUGCACGAAGAAGGUUUUCGGAUUGUAAAGUGCUUUCAGCAGGGAGGAAGAAAGUGACGGUACCUGCAGAAGAAGCGACGGCUAAAUACGUG
rnacentral:rRNA from 1 species